UUCUCCAAACUUCGGUUCCAGCUUCCUAUCUCCCCCAAAUUUUCGGUUUCUUCUUGAGUUCUAACCCCUCAAGAGCUCCUCUUCCUCUAGAAUUCCAACCGAAUCAAAGCUCCUCCUCCUUAAAUUCCCCUUUACUCCUUCUUCUCCUCUUCCAAUUUGGACUUGAACAAAAGGGCAGACCUAGGGUUUUCGGCUGAUCUUGACUUGGGCUCGAGCAUUUGUGGAUUCAAUUCCUCUUCGAAUUUCAGAUUAGCUAUGUCGACGCUUUGGACCGGCUGGGGCGCGAAUUCCGACGGUUACAAGAGUUGAAGACUGCUGGUAGCUCAACGUACACAGCCAUUUGGAUGGAAUCUCGUCUACAAGCAUGGCACGACACUCGGGCUUCGGCUGGACUUGAGAUUCAAACGCAACAAAGUCGGGUGGAUCAAAUGGAGGCCUUGGCUAUCUUGGGGAUGGCGAAGGGUGACUUGGAGCGUUCACGAGUUGUGAUAUCCGGAAAAUUGGAGCUCUCGAAACAGAAGUUAGCCAAGAUCCAACAAGAGGCUGCGAAAACAUUAUCCCUCACCGAGGAAUCCUUCAAGGUUGCAUUGCAGUGUGAGCUUGAGCGAACUUAUACAGAGGAAUUGACUAAACUUGAACAACAAGCCUGUAGUCACAAACUUCAUGUAGAUUGAUUGUAACUCUUGUACCUGCAAACUCAAUUUUAUUAAUAGAAAAUAUGUCUUUUUCAUUCAUUA